CUCGUCCGUCUCGCGGCAACGUGGGAGGGGGAGGUAACAAGGGUGCUUUUGCUUUCUGAUUGUCGUUGCUCUCGUUUCAGAAUCACCAUGAGUGCAACCGGACUCUGCAGACCUUUUGUGGGAGUGAUGCGGUUCAGGCGAGCGCGGCCGUUCCCAUGGCGGGUGACACGAGGAGAUCCCAGCGUGUGGAAGAAUGGAUUUUAGUGAGCUGUCCAGUCACUUCAGAUAAAGAAAAUAUUACCGUGGUUGCAGAGCUUUCCUUUAGUCAAUCUGAGAAGGUACUUGGGACUGUAAAAUACUGCAGAUUUGAUUACCCAGCUGCUCAGGGACCUCUCCCUUAGAAAGGAUGAUAGCAUCUCAAAUAUAACAUGUCCAAAACAGACCAAUCUUCUGUUCCAACUGUUCCUUACCCACUAAGCUCCACCUGUUUACUCAGGCCAAAAUCCUAGAAAUUACCUGUGACUCCUUUUUCUACACCCUCCUGUUCAUUCCAGCAGCUAGCUCUGUCAUUCUACCUUCAAAAUAUACCCU
rnacentral:lncRNA from 1 species